rnacentral:snRNA from 1 species
AACUGUUGCACUUGAUGUAU